GAACGAGGUAAGUAUUGGAAGGUCUUCGGACCGGAAGAUAUUUACCGAGUGGCGGACGGGUGAGUAACGCGUGGGUAACCUGCCUCAUACAGGGGGAUAACAGUCAGAAAUGGCUGCUAAUACCGCAUAAGCGCACAGUGUCACAUGACACAGUGUGAAAAACUCCGGUGGUAUGAGAUGGACCCGCGUCUGAUUAGCUAGUUGGUAAGGUAACGGCUUACCAAGGCGACGAUCAGUAGCCGACCUGAGAGGGUGACCGGCCACAUUGGGACUGAGACACGGCCCAAACUCCUACGGGAGGCAGCAGUGGGGAAUAUUGCACAAUGGGGGAAACCCUGAUGCAGCGACGCCGCGUGAGUGAUGAAGUAUUUCGGUAUGUAAAGCUCUAUCAGCAAGGAAGAAAAAAGACGGUACUUGACUAAGAAGCCCCGGCUAACUACGUGCCAGCAGCCGCGGUAAU
rnacentral:rRNA from 1 species